AAGUCAAGAAUGCAUCAUGAAGUCAUUUUUCCCAGGUAUUAAAUACAUGCUAAUGUGUACCAACACUUGGUAUAGUAGCAGCAUCUACAGAGUUGUGUUAAAUAACACGUUUUCCAUAUCAAAUGAAUAAAUAAUAAUAAUUUUUAGCCGGGCAGUGGUGGCUCACGCCUUUAAUCCCAGCACUUGGGAGGCAGAGGCAGGCAGAUUUCUGAGUUCAAGGCCAGCCUGCUCUACAAAGUGAGUUCCAGGACAGCCAGGGCUACACAGAGAAACCCUGUCUCGAAAAACCAAAAAAAAAAAAAAAAAAAAAAAAAAAAAAAAAAACCCACCCCCCCCCCCAAAAAAAACCAAUAAUAAUUUUUAACAAAAAACACAAAACAAAACAAAAACAGCACCACAAUAAAGCACCUAGCAGAGUCUGAGCUCUUAAAAGCUAGACACGGGGAAUUCAGAGGAAAGUGGGUGUGGUCGCCGAGGUUCCCAUCAGGGUACAGCAGGGUAUGUGUCCUGUGUCUGCAGCUGUCUGUGCCAUAACCACCUGCCACUCAAAUGGGGACAGAGAAAGCCAGCUCUGUGUUCCCAGCUACUCCGGAAGUUGAGUCAGAAGGAUUAUAAAUUGAAAGCCUACCUAGGCUACAGAAUGUUCAAGGCCAGUUUGGGCAACUUAGACCUUGUCUCAAAGUCAAAUGUAAAAGACUGGGUCUGGAGGGGUGGCUCAGUGACUUAGAGUACUCCUUGCUCUCCAGAGGACCUGGGUUCAAUUCUCUGCACCCACAUGGAGCUCAUGCGGACAGCUCACAAACACCUGCAACUCCAGUUUCAAGAGGUCCAAAGUCUUCUUUUGGCCUCUAUGGGGACCAAGCACAUAGUGCACAGUGAGCAUGCGGACAAAACACAG
rnacentral:lncRNA from 1 species